rnacentral:rRNA from 1 species
GACGAACGCUGGCGGCGUGCUUAACACAUGCAAGUCGAACGGAAAGGCCCUGCUUGCAGGGUACUCGAGUGGCGAACGGGUGAGUAACACGUGGGUGAUCUGCCCUGCACUUCGGGAUAAGCCUGGGAAACUGGGUCUAAUACCGGAUAUGACCUUCCAUGUAGUGUGGGGGGUGGAAAGAUUUAUCGGGGUGGGAUGAGCCCGCGGCCUAUCAGCUUGUUGGUGGGGUAAUGGCCUACCAAGGCGUCGACGGGUAGCCGGCCUGAGAGGGUGGACGGCCACAUUGGGACUGAGAUACGGCCCAGACUCCUACGGGAGGCAGCAGUGGGGAAUAUUGCACAAUGGGCGGAAGCCUUAUGCAGCGACGCCGCGUGGGGGAUGACGGCCUUCGGGUUGUAAACCUCUUUCGACAGGGACGAAGCUUCGGUGACGGUACCUGUAUAAGAAGCACCGGCUAACUACGUG